UUGCGGCCUGGGCCGGUACUGCAGGCGCGGCGUCACCUGCCGGAGCGGCCGGUGCACUGGCCGGCGUCGGUGCGGCGGCUGGCGCCGCAGGC
rnacentral:tRNA from 1 species